UCUGGCCCGUCCUGCACGGUCCCUGCCCCAGCCCUGGCCCGGCCAUUUCUCCAGGGAGCACCAGGUCCUUUGAUUGGAGGAUGAUGUUACAAACCAAGAUCUGGAUGCUGGUGGCCCACGGCGACAGGGGUGUCUUUGCUUCUGGGUCUCCUCAGGUGACGGAACAAGGCUUCAGGCUUCGGAAUUCACAACACGUACCAGAACCAGCUGGGAUUGAGCCGGCGACGGUGGCACUUCCCAUACUCUGCUGCUCUCCUCCAGCAGAAAAAAGAAAACGGUUGACAAAUCUGCUUUAGAAAAACGACUCUCGACUCUCCUCGGGGCCCAGAUGAGCUUGCCGGCCACUCCUUCGUCUGCAGGAGCGCCUGCAGAACCCGUCAGCAGUCACGCCGUGAGGCACGCAGCGGCUGCUGACCCCUCCAGCACGGGCAGUCCCAAAGCUCCAGAAUCUGCACCCCCGCCCACCAGGUGGCCAGGCUGCUCCUGAACCCGCCCAGGCUGCCUCUGCUGAGAUCGCCAGGUGCCUCUUGCUCCUCACUGAGGGUCUUGUCUUCAUCUGCUCUGCUGAUCCACAUUCCCGAGUCACCUCAAAACCGCAACCUCCAUCACAGCCGGACACCCCAGGUCAGAAGGCAGCUUGGCCUGGGCCCAGAUCUCACACCACACCGGCUGGCUCCUGGACUCUGACCUCUCUGACCCUCAGUUUCCUCAUCUGUGAAAUGGAGGUUGGGAGAACACCUCCCUUGCAGGCGGCGGGGGUUCAGGGAGGUCUUCCCGCGGGUGCCUGGUGCCGUGCAGGGGUGCGGUGCGUCUGUCAUGGGGUGAGCAAAGUGCUCAGUGCCUCGGUUUCCCUGUCUCCUCAGUGGGGGUGCAGAGGGCACCUGCCUCCUGUGGCCGUCGGCUCACAGGAUGGACAUGCAGGUGGCUCUUCAGUCACCGGCUUGGGCACGUGGGAUCCCGCCAGGAUGGUGUCCGUGACCUCCACGUGUGCCUGCACCCAACAACCACGUCAUCUCCCCCGUCCACGGUCAUCCUCCUUCUUUCUAGAAAUGCGCCUGGAUCCCCUGUGCGUUGCUCUGACCGCCGAGGAGUCCAUGGGGAGCGGGUGCGGCCGGGUCUCACUGCGUCAGGAUGCCAUUCCCCGAUGAGUCCUGGUCGCACACAGGCUGUGAAGGUGCCGGCAGAGCCGGUGGGAGCUCUGGUCUCCGUCUGCAGCCACCAGGGGCCUCUUCCUCUGAGGUCAGAUCUUCCGGCCUCCCGGGAGGCUCCAGUCCCUGCUUGGUUCGGCUCCCGUGAACUGCUGUCUGCUUUCUCAAGCCAGAGAGCCGCCGCUCUUCCUGGCAGGGACAGCCCAGCACAGUGGACACAGGGGACACAGUGAGGAGCCUGCUUCCAGAGUCCCAGUGCUGCCACUGAGAAAGGUCACUCGAAGACAGAGUAAGAAGGUGGCUGUCACCAGGAGGAAGAGGGCUCCCAGCAGGUGGCCUCCGGAGCCACGAGGAACAUGCUCCUGUUGUUCGGGGGAACCCUGUCCCCAGAGGAGCCCGGUGCAGCAGAGACGAUCCUAGUGGCGAGUGGACGGUCACACCCCACGAGCCAGUGCUGGCUCAGGAGCAGGCCUCGAAAGCGCCAGCUGUAGUCAUCGCCAUCAAUCACCAUCACCAUGGCAACGGAGAGGCAGCUCGUGGCCGGAAAUUCAGGACCUCAGGGCGGCUCUGUCUGACAGAACUUCCACAGCCCUGGGGAUGCUCUCCGUCCUUGGGAUGGCCACUGGCACAAGGCCCAGCGCCUGGCUGCACCUGCCCCGUCAGGCGCUCAGGACAGACCGUCGACAGGGCUGCAGGACGAUCCAGGGCGGUUCUGCCCUAGGACGGGGCUUUCCAAGGGCUUUGACUGAUGUUCGGUAUGAAAUUUCACAUCACGGAAACAAAUCUCUAAACACUAUU